rnacentral:lncRNA from 1 species
CAGUAAGGUACAUAAAGCACGCAAGACAGACAAAAUAGCUCAAGAGACUCUGUUAGACCACAAGAUGCCAUCUUGAGGAGAGACAAGUAAACUGUUAGAUCACUGCUAGGGCUAUAAAAGCAGAGCUGGGCUUGGGUAGGCUGGUGUCAGGCUAGCAGGGCUGUGAGGGGUUGGCUGGCUCAUAAGACACUACACCCAUGGGAGACUGGAUUGCAGAGACACCAGCCUGGGACAAGGGAGAGGGGCAUUUGUACAAAGAUGGGGUCAUAAAUUACACUGCUUUUCAUCUCCACACCUAUCUUUAGACCAGAGCACGGAUAGCUCCCCUGUGCCCAUGGGAUGAUGCAAAGACCUUGAAGAGUCCCUGCUACUCUAAUGAGGAACUAAAGGCGUAGCGUCAUGGACACACUCAACCACUCAGCCCUAAAAGCAUGAGCAGAGUCACGCGUAUACUCAUACACACACACACACACGCCAGGCUGAUCCACGAAAGAAGGUGUUACAUUGCUUUGUAAUGGUAAGUCCCUGGAGAGGAGCAGCCAUUUUUACUAAACAAGGAUAUAUGAAUAGUAAAUAUAAAUGUCUUGGUUCAAAGAAACCCACAGAUUUGCAACAGGAAAAAUACAGCAGCCUCCAGAGGGGGAGAGACCGUUUGAGGGCUAACGAACCUUCUCCUUGAAGAACAGCAGUGACUCAGCUCUACAAGCCAAGAAAAGCAACUACACAAAAAUGAGCAUUUUGUCCACACAGAAAAGCCUCAGCAUGGAGGGUGCAGGAGGCAGCUGUGGCUCAUCUCCAGCCUCUGCAAGGAGCAUGAAAAAGAGAAGCCAAGCAGACAGCUGUGACUUCCAGCCGUAGUGAUGGGUCAGCCUUCACUGCCACAACAUCAACCCUCUUCCGGCCACCCUGGAACCAUCCCUGGAGCCCUCUGUGCCUCUUGGAUCAUCAUUCCCAGCAGACAGAGCAGCCCCACGCCUCAGCGCCUGGCAGGCUCUCAAACAGCAGAGGCUCCCCGUUUGGCAGCAUCGAUUUCCCUUGCGAGGGUGAAGUGUGGAUGGGGAAUAUCUUCCCCACGGGCCCGGCCACGCUGGAGGACUUGGGGGAAGGCGGUAGAGGCCGAUCGGCGCCCUGUUAGGUGCUGCCCAACCCGAAAGAGCCUGGCUUUCCUUCCAGCCCGGCUCUCGCUGCGCCCAUGCCGGGACCCAGCAGCCUCCAAAGCUCAGCCAGCUCCUCGGUGCCUGCUGCUACCAACGAGCCUGAGCAACCCCUGCCCUUUUCCUAACCCUCUUCCUACGCCCUUCGCGCCUUGGCAAGCAUCUAGCGUAUCCCCCUUCGGCUUUCCUUCUCUCCCCUCCCAGCCUCUGCUCAGCCCGAAUCCGUGCCUGCACACUCCCUGCCUGCUUCCCACAGACUUACCAGAACCCAAACACUCCCCCCAUGCUCCUAGGAGUUAAAAAAAAAAGGAGUCCCUCUGAAAAGCCAAAAAAGUACAUUUCUCCCCCACGCUCAGCCAGCAGGCUGCAGCCCCUGACUGCCUGAAAACUUUCUGCUUUUCAAACAGCUCUGCAAAAGGGAAAAGACCUGAGUGCAGCAUCUUGGCUCGCCGACUUACCUGCACGCUCCGACUCUUGGCAUCCACCUCUUGUGGGUGCAGGAGCGGAGGGGCGGCCAGGCCCAGCUCCCGGCUGUUCAAAUCCCCCAGACCACCCGGACCCCAGCACGUCUUCGGCACCUUGCGCUUGCACACCGGCGGCCGCUUGCGUUUCUCCCGCAACGCG